UACGGAGGGUGCAAGCGUUGCUCGGAAUUACUGGGCGUAAAGAGCGCGCAGGCGGUCGACCAAGUCGAGUGUGAAAGCCCCCGGCUCAACUGGGGAGGGUCAUUCGAUACUGAUCGACUCGAAGGCAGGAGAGGGAAGUGGAAUUCCGGGUGUAGUGGUGAAAUGCGUAGAUAUCCGGAGGAACACCAGUGGCGAAGGCGGCUCUCUGGGACGGUACUGACGCUGAGACGCGAAAGCGUGGGGAGCGAACAGG
rnacentral:rRNA from 1 species